GGAGGGUGCAAGCGUUGUUCGGAAUUAUUGGGCGUAAAGAGCAUGUAGGCGGCCUAGUAAGUCUGAUGUGAAAUCCCAGGGCUUAACCCUGGAACUGCAUUGGAUACUGCUAGGCUAGAGACCGAGAGAGGAAAGCGGAAUUCCUGGUGUAGGGGUGAAAUCCGUAGAUAUCAGGAGGAACACCGGAGGCGAAGGCGGCUUUCUGGCUCGGUUCUGACGCUGAGAUGCGAAAGCGUGGGUAGCGAACGGGGGAUUAGAUACCCCGGUAGUCCACGCCCUAAACGAUGGAUACUAGACGUUGGAGUUCCCUAAUAGCUUCAGUGUCGCAGCUAACGCGGUAAGUAUCCCGCCUGGGGAUUACGGUCGCAAGAUUA
rnacentral:rRNA from 1 species